rnacentral:rRNA from 1 species
UACAGAGGGUGCGAGCGUUGUUCGGAAUUAUUGGGCGUAAAGCGCAUGUAGGCGGCUUUGCAAGUCGCGUGUGAAAGCUCCAGGCUCAACCUGGAAAGUGCGCGCGAAACUGUGAGGCUUGAGUGCCGGAGAGGGUGGCGGAAUUUCCGGUGUAGCGGUGAAAUGCGUAGAUAUCGGAAGGAACAUCAGUGGCGAAAGCGACUUCCUGGACCAGUACCGACGUUCAGGCACGAAAGCGUGGGGAGCAAACAGG